GAAUUUCCAUGUUGCCCAGUAAACAUUCCCUAGCCACAGGUAUGUUUUCUAAGAAUGAGUUAGAAAAGAGUGAACUUCACAAUUGGACUGGAGAUGAGCUUUGACCUACCUUGUAAAAUAAAAGUACAAGCAGAAGAGAGUAAAGUAGUCAGUGAGAAAUCCCAAAACAGAAUCAAAUCAACUAAACAAUUUGCAGGCUACACAAUUGUUAGAAAUCAAAGACAGGCUGGUCAGUGAUAUACUCCUGUACUCUCAGCAAUUUGGGAGACUGAAGCAGGAUGAUCACAAGUUAUAGGCUAGCCUCAGCAACUUACUGAGACCCUGUGUUAAAAUAAAAAUUUUUUAAAAGGCCCGAGGAUGAAGCUUACUGGUAGAGUACUUCCCUAGCAUGUGAGGCCCUGGUUUUAAGCCUCAGUAUAAAUAAAUAAAUAAAUAUCAGCAAAUACACACACACAUAUCCAUAUAUGUGUAUAUAUGGAUAUACACUCACUUUUCAGUUUGCCCUCUUCACGUCAUUGGUGACCUCAAUAAUCUUGGAUAGCUCUAAUAACUUCUCAAGAGAGGUUUGUUGAUAGAGCCACAAUGUCAUCAACCAGUUUCACAUAAACCCUUGGGAGCAAGUCAUCAG
rnacentral:lncRNA from 1 species